GACGAACGCUGGCGGCGUGCCUAAUACAUGCAAGUAGAACGCUGAAGAGAGGAGCUUGCUCUUCUUGGAUGAGUUGCGCACGGGUGAGUAACGCGUAGGUAACCUGCCUUGUAGCGGGGGAUAACUAUUGGAAACGAUAGCUAAUACCGCAUAACAAUAGGUUACACAUUUCAUUUAUUUGAAAGGGGCAAUUGCUCCACUACAAGAUGGACCUGCGUUGUAUUAGCUAGUAGGUGAGGUAAAGGCUCACCUAGGCGACGCGACAUAGCCAAACUGAGAGGGUGAUGGCCCACACUGGAAUUGGGACACGCCCAAGACUCCUAAGGGAGGCAGCAGUAGGGAACCUUCGGCAAUGGGGCAACCCUGACCGAGCAACGCCGCGUGAGUGAAGAAGGUUUUCGGAUCGUAAAGCUCUGUUGUAAGUCAAGAACGAGUGUGAGAGUGGAAAGUUCACACUGUGACGGUAGCUUACCAGAAAGGGACGGCUAACUACGUG
rnacentral:rRNA from 1 species